AAGUCGUAACAAGGUUUCCGUAGGUGAACCUGCGGAAGGAUCAUUAACACGUAUCCAAACGUUAAACCCCCCCCGUGAACAUUCAUCCUGCUCUUGUAACCCGCGAAGCUUGCAAUCUCUGGUAAAUCAUAGCCCGGAAAGGAUCUGGCCCGUGAGAUUCUUUGAGACGUUACAAUUUUGAGCGGUAGUUCUAUAGGCCUUGUUUCCCCAAGCAGUCAGUGUCUGAAAGUGUCAUUGAUUGUGCAAGGAUAACGCUUCACGAUUCUUGUAGACCGCAUCUCGCGGGCAGGAGCUAGGCCAAAGGGUUGAAGCUCAAUGUAAUACAUUGGGUAAAAAAACCGAACAACUGUUAACAAUGGAUAUCUUGGUUCUC
rnacentral:misc_RNA from 1 species